AGUGAACGCUGGCGGUAGGCCUAACACAUGCAAGUCGAACGGCAGCACAGUAAGAGCUUGCUCUUACGGGUGGCGAGUGGCGGACGGGUGAGGAAUACAUCGGAAUCUACUUUUUCGUGGGUGAUAACGUAGGGAAACUUACGCUAAUACCGCAUACGACCUACGGGUGAAAGCAGGAGAUCUUCGGACCUUGCGCGAUUGAAUGAGCCGAUGUCGGAUUAGCUAGUUGGCGGGGUAAAGGCCCACCAAGGCGACGAUCCGUAGCUGGUCUGAGAGGAUGAUCAGCCACACUGGAACUGAGACACGGUCCAGACUCCUACGGGAGGCAGCAGUGGGGAAUAUUGGACAAUGGGCGCAAGCCUGAUCCAGCCAUACCGCGUGGGUGAAGAAGGCCUUCGGGUUGUAAAGCCCUUUUGUUGGGAAAGAAAAGCAGCAGGUUAAUACCCCGCUGUUCUGACGGUACCCAAAGAAUAAGCACCGGCUAACUUCGUG
rnacentral:rRNA from 1 species